rnacentral:lncRNA from 1 species
AUAAUUGUUGAUUCUUCUAACGUCUGUCUCUCUUUGUCUCUUCCAGACGUUUAGUGGUCUCCUGAAGCACAUUCCACCUCCGGCCGUAGCAGCCAGCUCCGCCUCUUCCUCUCCCUCCUCUGCCUCCUCGGACCAAAACAACAACAGCAACGACGCACAGCCCGCGCAAACUCCACACCCCACGAUCCCCCGGGGCCACCUGGUCGUGGGCCCCAAAGACCAGCUCCGCCUGCUGACUCCGGUGGGCAGCUCGGCCAAUCACUGCGCGGCGACCAUCAGAGUGUCCUCCCCAGCCAAGUCCCUCAGCCAGGAAGACGAUGGCGGAGGAGGAGGCGGGUCGAGGGUCAAGAAGAAGCGCAAGAAAAAAGACAAGCGCGACAAAGCGGCGGAGUUCGGAGAGGACGAGCAGAGAGGCAGCAGUAAACCAAAGAAACGCAAGGCGGAGAAGGAUACAGCGGCGACGACGGUGGUGGUGCUGAGUCCGAGGAAGAGCAAGGAGCCCAAGGAAGGGAAAGCGAAGAAGGAGCGGAAGAGUAAAGCCAAGGACGCCAAGAAGGACAAUGGGGCGGGGGUAAACAGGCGAACGCUGCAGGGCCCGGGACGACUGUGGCGCCCAUUAAAAUCCCCGGGAAACGAGGACGCAAACCCAAGAUCAAGAUCCUACCUCCUGUGCCGCCCGGUCAAGCUGCUCUUGUCCAGGGCGUGCCGAGCAAAGUACGUCUCCAGGCCUGUCCAGUCAAGGGCAACGGUCCGGCCCACAACAGCUCAGCCCCCAAACAGCGCGGACGCAAGCCUAAAGUGUGUGGUUCGCUGCCGGUGGAGAAGAAGAAGAAGGGGAAGAGGAGAAAGGAGGAGCUGGUUCUGGAGGCGGUGGAGAGCGAUGACACCACCUCCACCUCGGGCCUCACCGCGGGAGGGGAGGACAGCCAGGACCCGCUGGACAGCAGCGUGAGUUCAACAUAGAGUUAUGUUUGGUUUUGUUCAUG